rnacentral:rRNA from 1 species
UACAGAGGGUGCAAGCGUUAAUCGGAAUUACUGGGCGUAAAGCGUGCGCAGGCGGUUCGUUAUGUCCGUUGUGAAAGCCCCGGGCUCAACCUGGGAAUGGCAAUGGAAACUGGCGGGCUAGAGUGUGGCAGAGGGGGGUGGAAUUCCGCGUGUAGCAGUGAAAUGCGUAGAGAUGCGGAGGAAUACCGAUGGCGAAGGCAGGUCUCUGGGCUGACACUGACGCUCAUGCACGAAAGCGUGGGGAGCAAACAGG